rnacentral:lncRNA from 1 species
AUUUUUUUUUUUUUUUUUUUUCACCCAUCAUCAAAACUCCCUAUGGUUAACCUGGCUUUCUCAUUCUAGGACUCCCUAGUGGUGCCUCACUAUGUCUAAACUUAUGUGUUACCCUGGCGACUUUUAAGCUACAAUUCUCCAUGUAAAUUUUCUCUUUCUCAAAGAAGACUCUGGGGAUUGAAUUUGGGACUUUUGGACAUGAGGCAUGUGUCUAUCACCGAGCCACACCCUAGCCCAUUGCUUGUCUUGUCAGCAAAACUGAAGCAUCUGCCUCAGCUCAGAUGUUCCUUUGAGCCUCUUAUGUCUGUUACCGUGACCUCAAAUGCUCUUCUCAAGCUGGUUUGCCUCUUAUAAAUGUUCAAUCUUGUUUACCCUUCUAGAUACCAUCUAUCCUGGCCAGAAGUAUGGGUGUUUCCUCAAAGGGGUUUUAUUUUUUCUGCUUGUGUGUCAUUUGUCACAGUCUCACAUGCUAAUUAUCAGUGAGUAGUCUCAUCUCAUCUGUCUGAUUGAAAGUUCACUUCAUACUGCUGACAUUGGCAAUUAGUGUCUUCAGCAGCCCUACGAGCAAGCCUUUUAUUCUCCAUUGUGAUGAUCAGGCUAGGAAAUCAUAGAAGUUGCCCUUAAAAAUUCUGUCAGUGCUGCUUUUGAACCAUUGGUCUGUUUGGCUCUGAAUCUUGUGCUUUCCUAUGAAUACCUCUCCUGUGCCCAACAUGUAACAGAUGUUAAUAAGAAAAUAUUGAAUUGAGUUUUCCAUGUAUACCCACUAAUAUACAGUAGUGUAUCUAUUGACAUUUAGUUGUACACCCAUUGACAUUUACCACUUUACCCUUUGACAUUUAGUAGUAGAAAAUUUUACCAUUAUGCGUUCAAUAAAUGUUUGAUGAAUCUAUUAAUGAAUUCAAUGCCUUUAUAACAUGCUUUGUCAAAGACUGGUUGUAAGAUUAGCCUUUUUUUUUUUUUCCGUAUUAGGAGCUGAGCUCAGGGCCUUGCACAUGCUAGGCAAGUACUUCACACUGAGCUGUAUCUCAGCUCUGUAUUUACUUUUUGAUGUUGAGACUGGAUCGAAUUUAAUUCCACGCUGGAAUUGAACUUACUCCUUAGCUCAGGCUUGCCCUCAACCUGCAUUCUUUUUGUCUCAAACUCCUAAGUAACUUAGAUGACAGGCUCGUGCCGCCAACCUAGCUUAACACGAAACCUUUUUGAACUUCUAAGAGAAAAGAAAAGUGCUACUGAUUAAAAUAUGCACUGUGUUAUAUUGUAUGCUUACUAUAUUGUGUGCAUUUGAAAGGCUAUUUACACUUAUUCAUAUGUCUGUGUGUUGAAAACAAAACGCUCAAGGGAAGCAUGACUUGUAGCAAUCUGUAAAAGGAGGAGAAGAAAAUGGAGUGGUGGUCUUUCUUCCUAUAACAGAUUACAGAUAUGCAUCUACAGUAUUCCUCUAGUGCUGGUAAUUUUGGUUUUAUAAUACUUUUGGACUUACUUUGAAAGGGUUAAAAAUGCAACACUUUUGGAGUCAAAAUACCUGCUCAUUUGGAGACACUGGUGUACCUGUUACAGCUAUGACACAGCUGCCUCCUUACAUCUAGCAGUAACUUUAAGAUGUCCUUGGCUUUGACAUAGACCUUGAUCUCAAAGGGGGAUACAUCCUUGCCCUUGAUGGUUGGAGUUUGACCUUGUCUGAAGGCGUUUGUAGGUACCGUUUGAGGUGGGAUCUCAUGUCUAGUUCAGUCUUUUUCCUGGCUGUGUAGCUGAGGACGGCUGUGAACUCCUGACCUCCCUCCAUCUUCCAAGUGCUGGGAUUAGAGGUGCUUGCCACUGCGCUUGCCUUCAGUCUAUGAUUUCAUUUAUUUAGGCAUUGAAGACUUGUUUCUUUAGCUUGCUAAGUCACGUGUGUGCCUUCACGCCUUCUGGUUGUUUCUCUUCCUGUCUGCAAUCGCACUGAACAGAAGUUUUGGUGAGUUCAUUGGGUAACACACUAGAGCCUCAUGAAGCUUUGGCCUAGUAGGUUGUGUGAUGCUACCUGCUGCUGCCCUUUAGAGGGCAUGACAUCAGUUAGAUGGCAUGGAUGGUUGUGUCUGUUUCGGCCUAACGAAAACUUAAAAGGUAAGCAAAUUCUCCAAUUGCUUUAGGCAAGAAAGUCUACAAAUAUCCUAAACAACUACAGGCAUGUGAAUGAUAUGUUCCAAUACUAAAUGGAGCCUCCUUCAUUUCCUUACAGGUCAAGGUUGGGCUGCCAAGUUUGUCUGACCAAGGCUAUGGACAAUAUGACUGUGCGUGUGCCUGAAGCAGUGGCGGAUGUCCGACAGUCUGUUGACAUGAGCAAGAAUUCCUAAGCUACAAUAAAAAGAAAUAUUUUCAUUAAAUUUUUACCUAUUUUUAUAAUUAUUUCUUAGUAUAAUUAAGUGAUUAUAUGACAGAAUAUAUAUCUUAGUGUGAGUAGCUGUGCUGUCUUAGUUCAGUUCUGUAGAACUGAAACUUUGCAGUUUUUAUUUUGAUUAAAUUAUUAAAACAUCAGUCAACUAUUAGAAGGCAGCUGAUAUAAUAAAUUCCUUAUGUAUUUUACCAUGAGUGUGUUUGGUGAUUUUAGUAAAACAUUACUGUGUAAUCUCAUGUCUGCUUUUUAAAAAGGUAAUUUUAAAUAGUACCAUUAGUGCUGGAAAAUUAGGUCAGCAAUUAAGAGCACUGACCGUUCUUCCAGAGGACCCAGUUCAAGUCUGACAGCUACAUGGUGCCUCAUAAUGGUCUGUAAUUCCAUUUCUAGCCCCUAAAUACAUGUGGUAUAUUGACAUAAUAAGGAAAACAUUCAUACACAAGAAAUAAAAAUAAAAUUUCAAGAAAUGU